rnacentral:rRNA from 1 species
UACGUAGGGUGCAAGCGUUGUCCGGAAUUAUUGGGCGUAAAGAGCUCGUAGGCGGUUUGUCGCGUCUGCCGUGAAAGUCCGGGGCUCAACUCCGGAUCUGCGGUGGGUACGGGCAGACUAGAGUGUGGUAGGGGAGACUGGAAUUCCUGGUGUAGCGGUGGAAUGCGCAGAUAUCAGGAGGAACACCGAUGGCGAAGGCAGGUCUCUGGGCCAUUACUGACACUGAGAAGCGAAAGCAUGGGGAGCGAACAGG